UCGGGCAAUGCUAAGACGCCUUAAGAAACGCGCAAGCGCCCCACCAUCAGACUCUGGUGGCAGGGGCACCUCUGGCGCCCCACUCUUAGUCUGUCCAUUUGGACUCGUCAGCCAGGCUUCCCCUGGCAACCUACAAGUGGGGGGCAGGUAAGAAAAUUGGAAGCACUUACCGAGGGGCCGUUACGGGUUUCUGCCCAGUAACAUAAAAACAGCUUCCUGAACUUCGUGCAGACGACGUGCACAUAGGACCCGACCUCAGGCACCAGGAUGUAAAAUUGAGGAAAUGCUCUGUGAACACACAGGCCUGUUUCGGCACAGAUGUCAGGAAUGCGGAGCCAGUAAAUCUGCCCAGGCAGUUCUGUUCCUGAAUCAUUAAGAACAACCGAGUGGGUGGAACAAGAACAUGAAAUUGCUGUGUGCACUCAUGUUUUGUUUAUGGAGCAAUCACUUCUAGACGUGUUUUCUUCUUUUAUGAAGAAUCCUCUCCGUGUUUGCCUGCUGACACCCUCCUUCCUUCCCCUCCUCGGCUCUCCCACCCCCACUACAAAGAAGCAUCGAGCAUCGCAAAAACCUUAAAUCACAGAUUUGAAGAAUAGGAUACACUAAGUGCCUCUCUACGCGAAUCUCACUUAUUGUCAAAAUACAACAUUUAGUAAUGAAUAA